UACGUAGGGAGCAAGCGUUGUCCGGAAUCAUUGGGCGUAAAGCGCGCGUAGGUGGCUUCGUAAGUCCGUUGUGAAAGUCAAAGGCUCAACCUUUGAAAGCCGAUGGAUACUGUGAAGCUAGAGUACGGAAGAGGCGAGUGGAAUUCCUGGUGUAGCGGUGGAAUGCGCAGAUAUCAGGAAGAACACCAAUGGCGAAGGCAGCUCUCUGGGACGGUACUGACGCUGAGACGCGAAAGCGUGGGGAGCGAACAGG
rnacentral:rRNA from 1 species